ACCUGGCUGGCUCAGUCAGUAGAGCAUGUGACUCUUGAUCUUGGGGUUGUGAGUUCAAGUCCCACGCUGGGCA
rnacentral:tRNA from 1 species